rnacentral:lncRNA from 1 species
AUAAAAUCAAGUAAGAUGUCUGAAGCUCAGUUUGAAAUGUGCAGAAGUUUUCCUAGUGACAUGAAUUGAGCCAGCUUUAGGGUCUAAAUCAUUUAUGACUGAUCCUGUCUUACCUUACCUUGGCUGUGAUCAUUAGCAUUUUGAGGAUAGAAUUUCCAGUAAGUAUGACAUGCUGCUAGUAUAUUUAGUCUCAGACUAUAAAUACCAAUAUUCCAUUUCCUUUUAAGUAUCUUUAACUUCCAGGAAGAUGUUUUUACUUUCAGAAGUAAGAUCUAUCUCAGUAUAUUGCAGAUAGGCACAUUACAUGGCUGGAGAGAUUCCAUGGGUUUCAUCAGUCUUUGUCUGUUAACUUUGAAUGAGAGUGACAGGAACCCCUUCAGCUGGAUUUCAGUUGGAUUUUUACAUGAGACAGAUUUGACCAGCAGAGGAUCUUUUCCUUAAUUUCGUAUUUUUGCAUUCUUUCAAAAGUUUUCUAUAACAUUUGUUUCUUUCUACAUCUUUCCAGGGUGAACCAGCCUUCCUGGAACUCAGCAAGUCCCGUCUGUCACUGAGAGACCUGAAAAUAAAACAGCUCCAAUGGCACCAACUACAGAAAAAUAAAACGAACCGAAGUUACCACUCGCCCAGACUGGUGAUGAUUGCAGCUCCUCUCCCUCAUCACAGCUCUGCAGCUGUUUGUUGUCAGAGUGGAAAGUACAAGCCCUGGCAUUUCUCCUCUCUGCCGUACUCUGGAUGGC